AAAGUGCUCUACUUCUAUCAUAUAUCCAUUUGUAUAGUAAAAAUGCUUCUUGAUAUAUAAUAGCCUAAUGGUCCACCAAUGUUCAAAAGAUUUAAUAUCUAUUUUGCUACUUGUAAGCAAGAUUAUUUUGAUAGCUACAUGUCUAUAAUUGCCCUAGAUAUAGGGCUGAAAUCGGAUCGAAUACAGAUCGGAUAUCAUGAUCUCUAUAUC
rnacentral:lncRNA from 1 species